CUCAAAUAGGGAAGAGAUCUAUGCACAUCACUCACUGUGUUUUUUUAAUUAUUAUUUUCUGUUCCGUGGUGUAAAGAUAUUGUUGAAAGUGUAAAGAAAGGCCUGCAGAUACCCCUACGAGUAAUAGUGAUAAGGAAAAGAGGAAGCAGGCCAGGCAAGGUGGCUCACGUCUGCAAUCUCAACACUUUGGGAGGCCGAGGCGGGUGGAUCACUUGAGGUCAGGAGUUCAAGACCAGCCUGGCCAACAUGGUGAAACCCCUGUCUCUACCAAAAAUACAAAAAUUAGCUGGGUGUAGUGGCAGGCGCCUGUAAUCAGCUACUCGGGAGGCUGAGGCAGGAGAAUCGCUUGAACCCGGGAGGCAGAGGUUGCAGUGAGCCUAUAUGGCACCACUGCACUCCAGCCUGGGCAACAGAGUGAGACUCCAUCUCAAAAAAAAAAAAAAAAAAAAGAAAAAGAGGAAGCAGUUAUGUUUAUAGCACAGAAAGUCAAGUUGCUGGAGAAAUGGGACAGAAGUGUAGGUGUGAAAUAUCCUACAGAAGAGUAUGGUGUUGGCAUAAACACCGUAGAUGACCUAAAGAAACAGAAGGAUGGCCAGGCGUGGUGGCUCAUGCCUGUAAUCCCAGCACUUUGGGAGGCCAAGGUGGGCGGAUCACCUGAGGUCAGGAGUUCGAGACCAGCCUGGCCAACAUGGCGAAACCCCGUCUCUACUAAAAGUACAAAAAACUUGCCGGGUGUGGUGGUGCAUGCCUGUAGUCCCAGCUACUUGGGAGGCUGAGGCAGGAGAAUCGCGUGAACUCAGGAGGCGGAGGUUGCAGUGAGCCAAGAUUGUGCCACUGUACUCCAGCCUGGGCAACAGAGGGAGACUCCAACUCAAAAAAUGAAAAAAAUGAAAAAAAAAAAGAGUACAAAAAAAUUAGCCGUGUGCGGUGGCAGGCGCCUGUAAUCCCAGCUACUCAGGAGGCUGAGGCAAGGGAAUUGCUGAGGCAAGAGAAUUGAAACCUGGGAGGCAGAGGUUGCAGUGAGCCGAGAUCGCGCCUCUGCACUCCAGCCUGGACAACAAGAGCAAGAAUCCAUCUCAAAAAAAAAAAAAAAGAAAGAAAAAAACAGAAGGAUAAACUGAUGAAGUUCUAUAUGCUGAAAAUGAUGAACAGAAGUUAAUGAAAAAGAGAAAAACAAUGCAUAAAGCAAAAAAAAUGAAGAUCUUCAUUGUGUAUUGAAAGAGUAGAUCCAUCUGGCUGGGCACGAUGGCUCACACCUGUAGUCCCAGAACUUUGGGAGGCUGAGGUGGGUGGAUCACUUGAGGUCAGGUGUUCAAGACCAGCUGGCCAACAUGGUGAAACCCCAUCUCUACUAAAACUACAAAAAUUAGCUGGGCGUGGUGGCAGGUGCCUGUAAUCCCAGCUACACAGGAGGCUGAGGCAGGAGAAUUUCUUGAACCCCGGAGAUGGAGGUUGCAGUGACUUGAGAUCAUGCCACUGCACUCCAGCCUGGAUGACAGAGCAAGACUCUGUCUCAACAAAAAAGAAGAGUAGAUCCAUCAGCAUUGCACUGAUGGAUCCAUCCAACAUGUGCCGCUUAAUGGUAUACUGAAGGUGAAACAAGCAAGAUCUAUCACGAUGAACAGAAAAUUUAAGGAAACUGAAUAUUCAACAGGCUGAUUGCAGAUUUUUUGGGGUGUGGGGACAGGUCUCACUCUAUUACCCAGGCUGGAGUGCAGUGACAUAAAUAUGGCUCACUGCAGACUCAGCCUCCUAGGCUCAAGCAGUCCUCCCACCUCAGCCUCCCAAGUAGCUGGGAACACACACACAUACACCAUCAUGCCAGGCUAAUAAAUUUUUUGCAGAGACAGGGUCUUGCCAUGUUGCCCAGGCUGGUCGUAAACUCCUAGGCUCAAGAAACCCUCCCACUUUGGCCUCCCAAACUGUUGGGAUUACAGGUAUGAGCCACUGCACCUGGCUGGUUGCAGAAAUUUAAGACGAGACAUGAUGUUACAUUUUUAAAGAUUUGUAGGCCAGGUGCAGUGGCUCAUGCCUGUAAUCCCAGCACUUUGGGAGACUGAGGCGGGUGGAUCACUUGAGGUCAGGAGUUUGAGACCAGCCUGGCCAACAUGGUGAAACCCUGUCUCUACUAAAAAAAAACACAAAAAUUAGCCGGGCAUGGUGGUGGACGCCUGUAAUCCCAGCUACUCCGGAGGCGGAGGCAGGAGAAUUGCUUGAACCCAGGAGGUGGAGGUUGCAGUGAGCCGAGAUGGAGCCACUGCACUCCAGCCUGGGCAACAGAGUGAGAUUCUGUCUCAAAAAAAAAAAAAAGAAAAGAAAAAAAAAAGAGAAAAUGCAUGAUGAGCUUAUUGAGGGGCAAGAGCAGAAUGCAUUCAUAACAAAAUCAUGUCUAAGACAAAAACCAUUGGUAAUGAAGCAGAUGAAGCCUGGUGUGGCAGUUCAUGCCUGUAAUCCCAGCACUUUGGAAGGCAAAGGUGGGAGGAUCGCUUGAGUCCAGGAGUUGGAGACCAGCCUGGGCAACAUGGCAAGACCCCAUCUCUACAAAAAAUUUAAAAAAUUAGCUGGGCAUGGUAGUGUGCACCUGUGGUCCCAGCUACGUGGGAGGCUGAGGUGGGAGGAUCAUGUGAGCCCGGGAAGUCAUGGCUGCAGUGAGCCAAGAUCACACCACUGCACUCCAGCCUGGGCAACAGAGCAAGACCCUGCCACAAAACAAAACAAAAAACAAAAAACAAACAAAAAAAAAUAGAAAAAAAAAAAAAAAGGCAGAUGACUCUGGAGGAAACAUUUUAAAAAGCCAUCCAGGAGAAUGCCUCCUUGUCCCUAGGGGACCCACUUCCUGCUCCCUCAACUGCUUCUGAUGUUUCUUCUCACCUUAAAAAAAAUACAGUGUAGUCCCCUCUCUCCUCUCCCUUCUCCCCUCUCCCCUCUCCCUCUCGGUCUCCCUCUCCCUCUCUUUCCACGGUCUCCCUCUGAUGCCGAGCCGAGGCUGGACUGUACUGCUGCCAUCUCGGCUCACUGCAGCCUCCCUGCCUGAUUCUCCUGCCUCGGCCUGCCGAGUGCCUGCGGUUGCGGGCGCGCGCCGCCACGCCUGACUGGUUUUCAUGCUUUUUUGGUGGAGACGGGGUUUCGCUGUGUUGGCCGGGCUGGUCUCCAGCUCCUGGCCGCGAGUGAUCCGCCGGCCUCGGCCUCCCGGGGUGCCGGGAUUGCAGACGGAGUCUGGUUCACUCGGUGCUCGGUGGUGCCCAGGCUGGAGUGCAGUGGCGUGAUCUCGGCUCGCUACAGCCUCCAUCUCCCAGCCGCCUGCCUUGGCCUCCCAGAGUGCCGAGAUUGCAGCCUCUGCCCGGCCGCCACCCCGUCUGGGAGGUGGGGAGUGUCUCUGCCUGGCCGCCCAUCGUCUGGGACGUGGGGAGCCCCUCUGCCUGGCUGCCCAGUCUGGAGAGUGAGGAGCGUCUCUGCCCGGCCGCCAUCCCAUCUGGGAAGUGAGGAGCGCCUCUUCCCGGCCGCCAUCCCACCUGGGAGGUGAGGAGCGUCUCUGCCCGGCCGCCCAUCGUCUGAGAUGUGGGGAGCGCCUCUGCCCCGCCGCCCCGUCUGGGAUGUGAGGAGCGCCUCUGCCCGGCCGCGACCCCGUCUGGGAGGUGAGGAGCGUCUCUGCCCAGCCGCCCCGUCUGAGAAGUGAGGAGACCCUCCGCCCAGCAUCCGCCCCGUCUGCGAAGUGAGGAGCCCCUCCGCCCGGCAGCCGCCCCGUCUGAGAAGUGAGGAGCCCCUCUGCCCGGCAGCCACCCCGUCUGGGAAGUGAGGAGCGUCUCCGCCCGGCAGCCGCCCCGUCCGGGAGGGAGGUGGGGGGGUCAGCCCCCCGCCCAGCCAGCCGCCCCGUCCGGGAGGGAGGUGGGGGGGUCAGCCCCCCGUCCGGGAGGUGAGGGGCGCCUCUGCCCGGCCGCCCCUACUGGGAAGUGAGGAGCCCCUCUGCCCGGCCACCACCCCGUCUGGGAGGUGUACCCAACAGCUCAUUGAGAACGGGCCGGGAUGACAAUGGCGGUUUUGUGGAAUAGAAAGGGGGGAAAGGUGGGGAGAAGAUUGAGAAAUCGGAUGGUUGCCGUGUCUGCGUAGAAAGACGUAGACAUGGGAGACUUUUCAUUUUGUUCUGUACUAAGAUAAAUUCUUCUGCCUUGGGAUCCUGUUGAUCGGUGACCUUACCCCCAACCCUGUGCUCUCUGAAACAUGUGCUGUGUCCACUCAGGGUUAAAUGGAUUAAGGGCGGUGCAAGACGUGCUUUGCUAAACAGAUGCUUGAAGGCAGCAUGCUCGUUAAGAAUCAUCACCA
rnacentral:lncRNA from 1 species